rnacentral:rRNA from 1 species
ACGGAGGGUGCAAGCGUUAUCCGGAUUCACUGGGUUUAAAGGGUGCGUAGGUGGUUUUGUAAGUCAGUGGUGAAAGCCUGGAGCUCAACUCCGGAACUGCCAUUGAUACUGCUUAACUUGAAUCAAGUAGAGGUGGAUGGAAUAUUACAUGUAGCGGGGAAAUGCUUAGAUAUGUAAUAGAACACCGAUUGCGAAGGCAGUUCACUAUGCUGGGAUUGACACU